UACGUAGGGGGCUAGCGUUGUCCGGAAUCAUUGGGCGUAAAGCGCGUGUAGGCGGCCCGGUAAGUCCGCUGUGAAGGUCGGGGGCUCAACCCUGGGAUGCCGAUCGAUACUGACCGGACUAGAGUCCGGAAGAGGCGAGUGGAAUUCCCGGUGUAGCGGUGAAAUGCGCAGAUAUCGGGAGGAACACCAAUGGCGAAGGCAGCUCGCUGGGACGGUACUGACGCAUG
rnacentral:rRNA from 1 species